GAUAGGAUACAGUGCACCCUCAGCAAGUUUGCAGAUGACACCAAGAUGGUAGGAGUAGUAGAUACGCUAGAGAGUAAGACUAGGAUUCAGGGAGACUGUGAUAAAUUGGAGAAUUGGGCCAAAAGAAAUCUCAUCAAGUUCAACACAGAAGAAG